UUAAUUGAAGCCAAAAUAGAGGCAUAUCACUGUUAAUGAUAUAAAUGAAGAAACCUUCCAAUUAAG
rnacentral:tRNA from 1 species